GUAAUAACAAGAUUUAAUAUAAACUUUGAAAAGUAAAAUGAAGUCUAUGAAACAAAUAAGGGUGAAAACCAGAUGAGUUGGGAGGCUACUGGAGUAAACAAAAGUCAAGGCUCCAAGUCAUCUGAGGAAAGCAGAAGUCUGUUAGAAGUCUGAAUAGGAGAGUCCCAGAAUAGAAGAAGCCAAGGAUUGAAGCAAGAGAGAUCAGAUAGACCAGCUAGGCAAGAAGUGGAAGAUGAACUUGGACAUGAGAGGAUGAGAACCUUUGGUUCAACAGUGGGAGGAAAAAGGAUCUUCCAUCAGGAGGAUCAGGGAGCUGGCAGCAAGCAGCCUCAGGGCUGUGCUUCAGCAAUGAAGGACCAGUUCUCCUGCCCAUUCCCAUCACCUCUACAUCAUCUAUGGACAACACCCAUUCAAUGAUCUGGCCCCUAGACUAAGCUUCCAGAAGGAAGGUGGAUGGACAGCUUCUGUGGCAAUGACC
ensembl:lncRNA